UACGUAGGGUGCAAGCAUUAUCCGGAGUGACUGGGCGUAAAGAGUUGCGUAGGUGGACAAGUAAGCGAAUAGUGAAAUCUGAUGGCUCAACCAUACAGACUAUUAUUCGAACUGCUUGUCUCGAGAAUGGUAGAGGUAACUGGAAUUUCUUGUGUAGGAGUGAAAUCCGUAGAUAUAAGAAGGAACACCAAUGGCGUAGGCAGGUUACUGGACCAUUUCUGACACUGAGGCACGAAAGCGUGGGGAGCGAACAGG
rnacentral:rRNA from 1 species